CCGGUGGCAGGCUGCGUGGGCCGCGGGGUUGCCGAAAUCACCGCGUUUCACCCCAAAGCUGCGGCUCCUGGGGCCGUGUGACGGACUUUCGCCGUCAGGCGGGCGAGCGUGGGGCCGCCUGCGCGCCGCAGAGCCCGGUUGUAGUACCUGAUGCUUAAUCAGGGUGGACAUUCUGAACGUGGCCGGCCGAGAGCCUGAGCCGGCCUGGCCGGCGGGAACGGACACCGGGAGCCAGGAAAACCCUUCUGGCCGGGAGGAGCGGUCACCGUGAGCCAGCAUCCUCCUGGCCAGCUUCCGCAGGGACUGGGAAGGACACCAGGAGCCUGUGGCACCCUACGUGCAGAUUACUGGAGUGGGAGGAAUAUCCCCUUUGUUGCAGAAGCAACUCUGAACACCAGGUCCGAUUAGAUUUGGUUGUCAGGGCACUUAAAAGACCACCCCGUGUGUGUCCCUGUACAGGAGGACACAGAUCUGGGACCCAGGGAUGCUGUGUCUCCAGUGGGACCGUCCUUCUCCAGAGAGACUGCUGCAGCAUAACAUCCCUGUCAUCUCCACACCAGAUCCAAAUUUCUCCCUGAACCCUGGCCACACUUAGUACAGCUUUUUUCCUGCGCUGUGAGAACACUACAAGCAGAAUCUCUUCAAAAGCAAAUGUGUAGGCAUGUUAAGACAUAGCGUAGAUCACGUAUCCAUCCUGAAGGUAAACGUGGGAGUUCAGAGAACUCAGUGAAGCUGAGAUCUGUCCCCCACAUAGGGCCCCUAGCCAGAUCACGCCACUGCUCGUAGCCUGUUGGGGGAAAAACAAGCAGGUUUGGGGUAAAAGUUAAGCUCUGUUGGGGGCAGGGGGUGGGAAACAAGCUGUGUUCAGAGCAUGUUUGCACCUGAUACUCUGCCCUCCAGGUCCUUCCUGUGUCUGACGUGCCUCAGAGCAGGGCAGGCUCUCGCCCAUCCCUCUGCCAGGGAAAGCAGAGUAAUGCUGUGUCCUGCCAAGCUGCAGAGCUCAUUUCCACACACUGCAGUAUCUCUGCCUGGGAAAUCAAGGUGCCAAGCUCCUGCUCAACACAUGGUUUCUGUUCCCAAAAAAGGCUGGCACCUGACCUGCCGCUUGGCUGGGGUGGCCACCAGCAUCCUUACCAAGAGCCCCUCAAGCCUCACAUCCCUCCCUCAUAUUUAAUGACUUCCACGCAGUGAAAUCUGGAAGUGGGGUCUCAGCCUUGUGUCAACUAGGCUACCAGGACUCCUGCAGGUGGGCAUUUGGUUCCUGCUUUCCAAUGAGAGUGUCUGGAGAGCCAAAUAUUUGGGGAGCAUGUCCCUCACACAAGCACUUGUGGCAGGGAUAUGUAGGUGGUGGCUGUAGGUAUGCCAUGAGGCUUCUGGUCCCCAUUACUGCUCAUAGCAGCUCCUGCCUGGCUGCUGCAUCACAGCCUUUCUGGAUCCUAGCCAUCAGCAGCAACUUCCCCAACCCUCUCCAGAGCAUCCCAGGAAAGGAUUUUUGGUGAUAAUAACCUCCAAUUCACUUUUUCCUCUAUCUCAGUGGCCUAGGUCAGAUCGCUCAGGCUUAACCCUGAACCGUGAGCUGGGUAGACAAACCCCCUUCAUCCGUCUGCAUCCGUGCACACACUCCCCUGCAUUCCAAAGUUGCUUCCAAAACUGACUUCCAGUUAGUGUGGAUAUUUAACUCCUGCCCAGUUUUGCAAGUAAUUCCUGAGUGUAGCCUCAGUGACUCCACCAAGUAAGAAUAAGCUCCUAACUUUGGAGGUAUUUAUCCUCCCUGUUCCCAAAAAAAAUCCAGUUUCUUUGCUGGAGGAGCUCCUGUUCUUCCUCCUUCCUGACAGGGCCAGGACUGCCACACUCAGCUCUGCUCCACUCCCCCAGUGAUUCCCUGCAGACACCUGCGGGUGCCAUGGCCAUACCUGCAAUGUCAGGCUCCUCUCUUUUUUAAGGUGAGGGUAAUUACAGCCCUGUGCAGGAUUUUUAGGAAGGCUGGGCAAACCAGUUUGGUCAUCCCUCUCCCCAAGGACACAUCUUCGUGUUGCCUGAGAGCAGCAGGGGAGGAGGGACUCACUCAGGGGCAGGUCCAGGGUGGUUGCUGGGGUGUCCAUUGGGCAAAUCCCUCAGCAUCCCUCCUGUUCCUGUGAUGCCCAACUGGUGUGGAAGAAAGAGUUAUGGGUCUGUUCUGGAGGCACCAGGGGGAGUUUAGGGGACUGGGGGAACAGGACAGGUCAGCUCCUGGAUGUGUCACCCCAGGGCAGCCCAGCCAGCUCUGCAGUGAGGAACAGGACCACUGAUGCUUGUCCCAGAACAGGUUAUUUAAUAAAGUAUUUCAGCACAUAGUGAGUCAUUAAUUACACCCAAUCCUACAAUGCUAAUAGUAGUAAUAUUAAUAAAAAAACAAUAUUACUGCAUUCCACACCAUGUGCCUGCCCUUGCAGGCAUCAUGCACCUCCUCCUAUCCCGCCUUGCCCAGAGAGCCACUGCUGAGCUCCUGCUUCUUGUUGUUUCAUCCUUGCUCCCCAGGAACACCUGGAGCAUUGGAGGAAUGUUCCCCUGACUCUGCCCCCAGAAAUCUGGGACUUUCCGACUCAAGUGAAGCCAUUCCUGGGUGGGUUUUCAACAAUGGUGAGCAUCCCCAAACUGUGUACCAGCAUCUUCUCAGCACAACCUUCUGGAGCUCCAGCUUUCCUAAGAGGCACAGACAGAUGGCAACCUGGCAUCAGUGCACCUCUGGGAAAAUCCCACUCCAACACUUGCUAUCCAGACACUGCCAUCAAAAUUCAACAAUGGCAUCUUGUAAAUGGCAAAACUCCACAAAAUAGUUUACAUACUUGUAGAUGCUGAGGAGGCUAGCAGAGAAAAAAUUCUCCACUUCUAACUGUCUCAUGUGAAAGUCUCCGUUCUCACACAAGCUAGCUGUCUGCCCGUUUGCUAUCUGGUAAACAUUUGCACCUGCAGGGCUGUUGUGAGAACAUCGUGGAAUGUUUUGGUUUUACUGAGAAUAAUACUUUGAAAUGGGUGGUUAUACCUCUUGGCCUAUCACCUUGGUAGGUGGUUGACUGAUGGGCCAGUCAUGUAAUUUCUCUUUUGCGAUCCAUGCAAUAAAAAGAUGGGGGUUUGGCAUUAAAAGGUUGGCCUUCGACCAUA